AGGGUGGUAAACGCUGCGGGCUUGGUGUUGGGGUCCGUUAGUGGGCGGCCCAGUGCCGGAGAGAAGUUGUUAAGCCUGCUGCUUGGGGAGUAUGUCCGCAAGGAUGAAACUUAAAGGAAUUGGCGGGGGGAGGCACCGCAACGGGAGGAGCGUGCGGUUCAAUUGGAUUCAACGCCGAAAAACUCACCAGGAGCGACGGAUAUAUGAAGGUCAGGCUGAUGACCUUGCCUGAUUUUCCGAGAGGAGGUGCAUGGCGUAGUCGUGU
rnacentral:rRNA from 1 species